CUUCCUCUUUCUGUGUCUCUGCACCCCCCACCUCCUCCCGUCCUCCCCUCCUUUUUCUCUCCUUCCCUCUUGGCAGCGGUGCCAAAGUGGGCUGGCAGACCGAAGCAAACACAGCACAGGGCAGAGCAGAGGGUGAUCCAAAGGCUGGUGAAUUGAUUAUGUUGGCUGUGUGUGAGCAGACGUCCCUCUGUCACCUCGUGUACGGACAGACGCACUCACGCCAGUAGGAGGGGAUUGUGGGAAGGGGGUGUAGCUCUCAGAGGGUGUGCUCUACUCCUCUCUUUUCCCUUCUUCCCGCCAUCACGGCCCUCUUCUCCUUCAGUCCUCCGGCCCAGCCCGCCGCUCACUACAGGCUUCAGGAAGGAUACCUUUGUGGAUCUUCGAUGUUGAAGCAACGUGGAUGCUGUCCUUGGAGCUGAGGUAGUAGAUUGAAUAGUUGUGGGG